AACGAACGCUGGCGGCAGGCUUAACACAUGCAAGUCGAGCGGAAAGGCCACUUCGGUGGUACUCGAGCGGCGAACGGGUGAGUAACACGUGAGUAAUCUGCCCCUGGCUUUGGGAUAGCCACCGGAAACGGUGAUUAAUACCGGAUAUGACCACUUCACGCAUGUGAUGGUGGUGGAAAGUUUUUCGGCCAGGGAUGUGCUCGCGGCCUAUCAGCUUGAUGGUUAGGUAAUGGCUCACCAUGGCUUCGACGGGUAGCCGGCCUGAGAGGGUGACCGGUCACACUGGGACUGAGACACGGCCCAGACUCCUACGGGAGGCAGCAGUGGGGAAUAUUGGACAAUGGGCGGAAGCCUGAUCCAGCAACGCCGCGUGAGGGAUGACGGCCUUCGGGUUGUAAACCUCUUUUAGUAGGGAAGAAGCGAAAGUGACGGUACCUGCAGAAAAAGCACCGGCUAACUACGUGCCAGCAGCCGCAGUAACAC
rnacentral:rRNA from 1 species